GAGUUUGAUCAUGGCUCAGAUUGAACGCUGGCGGAAUGCUUUACACAUGCAAGUCGAACGGCAGCACGGACUUCGGUCUGGUGGCGAGUGGCGAACGGGUGAGUAACAUAUCGGAACGUAUCCAAUAAUGGGGGAUAACUAAUCGAAAGGUUGGCUAAUACCGCAUACGCCCUACGGGGGAAAGCUAGGGACCUUCGGGCCUGGCGUUAAUGGAGCGGCCGAUAUCUGAUUAGCUAGUUGGUGGGGUAAAGGCCCACCAAGGCGACGAUCAGUAGCUGGUCUGAGAGGACGACC
rnacentral:rRNA from 1 species